UUUGAUACCAAUGUCUGGAAUUGAGAUUUUGCAGAUGGUAUAUCAAGAGAUAGGUCAUCAAGACUAUCUACAACACGAGAAAAUCCCUUCAUCAUCUGACUAGAGCUUAUCAGCAAUUCCUCAGAUGCUUCCUUCAGAAGCUUGACAAUAAGAGCUUCUGCAGUUGGACUCUCCAUUCCAAGAGUGAGAGCUCGCUUGACAACCUCAUGGUGAAAAAAUGGCACUGCCAAUUCUCUGAUGCACCUACACGCCUCAGCUGUGUCACCAUUCUUAAUAUAUUCCUUAAGAAGAUCAGUAAUCCUCAACUUUACAGCGUCUACUGUGGUGCGAGUUGAACCACCCCAUCGCCGUUCAAGCAACUCUGCAUGGUGGGGUGCUGAAAGAUAGCUCUUUUCUGCAAUCUGUACAACUUGCAUCCCCUUUGAAGACUCGGAGAGACUCGCUUUUUCCCUGCUGAGAAAAGCAGGUGGCAGAAUGUCAUCAACAACAGCUCGUGCAAUGAAAAGAGCAAGAACAUCAACCGCGUCAAGUAUGUCAACAGCCAAGUCAUCAACAGCCUCUAGCAGCAUCACAAAGCCUAGUCUGAUUUGGGUAGAACUGAUCACAUCACCAUAAAGAGAUGAUAAAAGCACUGACGCCAUCUCUUUCUCCUUGUCAUGCCUAUCCAUUGCCAUGGAAACAAGCUUCUUGACAAAGUAACGGUGGAAAUCAUCAUAACCCAACUCUUUCAGAUCAGAAGCAGCCAAUUUAACAUCACCAGUGCUGAAAUAUUCCUCAAUAAUUGGGGCAACAGAUUUCUUGUAGUCCUCUACUGGGGUUGAAACAGGGGCUUCAACUAACCAUUAAAUAUUACCUCAUCACUGUCAUAGUUUGGGUCAUUGCGGUCAAGGCAUGCAUCUGUGUCUGUAUCUAUAAGUUUUCCCCAGAUCAAGCCGGAGCCACCUCACCUUUCUUCACCUUAAUGGUCUUCCCGGAAUGCGACCGCCGCACGUGCCUCACCCCACCCCCACCCCCACCGCCGCCGCCG
rnacentral:sRNA from 1 species